rnacentral:rRNA from 1 species
CAAGUCGAGUGCGCGGUUGUAGCAAUACAACUGGCGCACGGCGCACGGGUGCGUAACACGUGGGUAACCUGCCCUUUGGUGGGGAAUAACUCCGCGAAAGCGGAGCUAAUUCCGCAUAAGAUCCGCAAGGAUGAAAGCCGAAAGGCGCCGAUGGAGGGGCCCGCGCCCGAUUAGCUAGUUGGUAGGGUAAUGGCCUACCAAGGCUUUGAUCGGUAGCUGGUCUGAGAGGAUGAUCAGCCACACUGGAACUGAGACACGGUCCAGACUCCUACGGGAGGCAGCAGUGGGGAAUCUUGCACAAUGGGCGAAAGCCUGAUGCAGCGACGCCGCGUGGGGGAUGAAGCAUUUCGGUGUGUAAACCCCUUUCGAUCCGGACGAAUGCCCGCAAGGGAGUGACGGUACGGAUAUAAGAAGCCCCGGCUAACUACGUGCCAGCAGCCGCGGUAAGACGUAGGGGGCCAGCGUUGUUCGGAAUUACUGGGUGUAAAGGGUUCGUAGGCGGUGCGGCAAGUUGGGAGUGAAAUCUCUGGGCUUAACCCAGAGGCUGCUUCCAAAACUGCUGUGCUUGAGUGUGGGAGAGGCGCGUGGAAUUGCAGGUGUAGCGGUGAAAUGCGUAGAUAUCUGCAGGAACACCCGUGGCGAAAGCGGCGCGCUGGACCACUACUGACGCUGAGGAACGAAAGCUAGGGGAGCAAACAGGAUUAGAUACCCUGGUAGUCCUAGCCCUAAACGAUCAGGACUUGGGGUGCCACCCGUUCGGGUGUCGUCCCGGAGCUAACGCGUUAAGUCCUGCACCUGGGGAGUACGGUCGCAAGACUGAAACUCAAAGGAAUUGACGGGGGCCCGCACAAGCGGUGGAACAUGUGGUUCAAUUCGACGCUACGCGAGGAACCUUACCUGGGCUCGAAAUGCUAGUGAC